GAGAACCUGGGGACGCUAGGUUCCGGAACCUGACCUGAGCUGGGGCCUGUGCUUCCAGCGGGUGGUGGGGGGCCUGGUGUGCUGGCAUCAAGUAAGCCGACUACCUCGGCAAAGGCUUAGGGACAAGAGACCAGCAGCCUGAACUGGCUGGGGCAUCCGGAAGGCUUAGAUCUUGUGGCCAAGAGUUCAGACCGUGGCGAAGUGGAGAGUGACAUGCAGUUGGAUGGCGGUGACUGCGUGGUAUGGAAGAAAAUUCAGCUGAAAUUUGCUAGAAAAUGAGUUGUUUUGGAAAGAGACUGUAGAGAAAGGCAAAUGGAAGAAGAAAGCUUCUGUGCCCCCACAGAUACCGACUGAAAAGUGUUAGCAUGAGCAAAAGUUCCUAUCUAAUAUUAUAUGCUUUCCUUUGCUCCCAGCAUUCCACAAUCACGGGCUACUUCAAUUCUGCCUGCUGAGCUGAUUUAAUAAUCUGGAAGAGGAUUAUUCUCCCCCAUCUGGAAGAGGAUUAUUCUCUAUAAUCCCAGUUAGAGACACAAUGACAUAAACAUCGCUAUGAUGUCAGAAGUGGGAUCCAAAGUAGAGCUUAUAAUGACACCUAGGAGUGCUGAGUGACCAAGCAAGGUACCCACCAGGCCGAUUAUGUCCAUUGUUCUCUUGGAGCAGCUGGUCAUCAUGGGAAAGGGUGCCACACUGGGAAUGCAAGCUGUCCUUGCUUCUGAACCAAGACUACUAUUGUGCCAGGAAGAGGGUGGGAAAAGAAGCCAAUAAAACUUUUCUUUUGAGUGAUUUGCAGCUUUUAACAAACUGAACCUGCUUAUUUCUGUGAACCAACCAGUGAUCUCUUAUGGCUGUUCAAAAGUAACAAGAGAGAUAUCACCUUUUGUCAUAACUCAAGACUUAUGAAUGGCCCUCACCAUAAUGAUGCUUUUUGACUGAGCUCUUCUCUAACCUGAAUGCAAGAGGUUAGGCAUGAAUAUCAUCCCCCCUGUUCAGCCUGAAGAAGUUACAGAAGAUGAAUCUUCCUCUCUCUACAGCCCUUAGGAUUAAGGGUUCUCUUACUGAAUGUAUUCUUAAACUGAACACUUAUUAAUCUUCCAGAUAUCACCUUUUGUCAUAACUCAAGACUUAUGAAU
ensembl:lncRNA LINC01278 long intergenic non-protein coding RNA 1278